rnacentral:rRNA from 1 species
GUGCAGCAGGCGCGAAACCUCUGCAAUAGGCGAAAGCUUGACAGGGUUACUCUGAGUGAUUUCCGUUAAGGAGAUCUUUUGGCACCUCUAAAAAUGGUGCAGGAUAAGGGGUGGGCAAGUCUGGUGUCAGCCGUCGCGGUAAUACCAGCACCCCGGGUGGUCGGGACGAUUAUUGGGCCUAAAGCAUCCGUAGCCGGUUCUACAAGUCUUCCGUUAAAUCCAACUGCUUAACAGAUGGGGCCGCGGAGGAUACUAUAAGACUAGGAGGCAGGAGAGGCAAGCGGUACUCAGUGGGUAGGGGUAAAAUCCGUUGAUCCAUUGAAGACCACCAGUGGCGAAGGCGGCUUGCCAGAACGCGCUCGACGGUGAGGGAUGAAAGCUGGGGGAGCAAACCGGAUUAGAUACCCCCGUAGU